ensembl:antisense Gm37592 predicted gene, 37592
UAAAAUCCAUUCACUCAGGAAAAAAAAAAGAUAAUAUCGUGGUGAUAUAUCCAUAGUUUAUAAUUUAUCAUUUAAAAAAAAUUUAAGCCUAAAGUGGUGGCACAUGUCUUCAGUGCCAGCACUUGGGAGGCAGGGGCAGGCAGAUCUCCGAGUUUGAGGCCAGCCUGAAGUACAUAGUGUUUGAAAAAAAAAUUAAUAGACGGGAUGUGCUAAUUCUGAAUUUAUAUUUAUGUUUGGGGUUAGGCAAUUUGUUGUUAAAGGCAUACAACACUACUGGCUUGCUCUCCACUUUUUGAGAUAACAUUGAAGACAGAAAAAAAAAUCCCAUUUUAAAAAGGCCCAACUGCCCUCUUCCACAUCAACAGCAGAGCUC